CGAAGUGGCUCAGGGGUAGAGCAAUUCACUCGUAAUGAAUAGGUCGUGGGUUCGAUUCCCACCUUCGG
rnacentral:tRNA from 1 species